rnacentral:tRNA from 16 species
AGUGACCCAGUGGUUAUAGCACAGGCCUCACAAAUGAAAGGUGUGAGCUCAAACCCUGCUUUGCGC